ensembl:lncRNA
GUGGAAUUUUCUUCCAAACCGUCUUUUAGUCUACAUUUAAGGAUGUUUAGGAUGGUAUAUUCUUCCGAACCAACUUCUCAGGUCUACAUUUCAGGUGGAAUAUUCCUUUUAACCAGCCCCUCAGGUCUCUUUGAGGAUUUUGGAUGGAAUACUCGGUUAAACCAACAUUUUAGGUGCAUGUCCAAGGAUUUUUGGUGGAAUGUUCCUUUAAGGUGGAUGUUUGAGGACCUUGUAGGUGGAAUACUUCCUGAAACCAACCUUUUAGGUCAACAUUCAAAGAUUUAAGGCGGAAUAUUCCUUUAAACCAACCUAAAUUUCAUGUUUUGAUCAUUAUCAAGUGAGAAACCUCAAUCCAGACUCCUCGUAAUGACGUUUGAGAUUUAUGCUGCUGUUAUUUGUUUAGUCCAGACUAAAUGACAGAAAUCCACAACUGUAAUUUUAUUUCAGGACUCGGUUAUUUAAUGUCAAAA